GGAAUGUUAUAAAUCACAUUGUUGCCAAAGCAAAUGUUGCAGGUACAUUCAACUUAAAUUUAUACAAAGAAC